rnacentral:lncRNA from 1 species
AAACAUCUGGAACGUGGAGAGUCAAGAGUGAGUAUCUCUGAACAAACAAGGAAACUCAGGAGAAGGCGGCGCCGGGUGGCCGCCCGCCGGGCCAGCUCUGCCCUCUGCCAUCCCCGCGAACGCUGGGCUGGACGCGCACCAGCGCAUUCGUGCCCCGGCCCGACCCCGACACGGCCUCCUCGCAGGGCCGGGAAACCUUAUCCAGCAGCUGGCAGCCCUGGAGGACGGCAGAUGAAAAUGAGGCUGCAAAAUCUGCCUUUGAACCAAGCAGGGCUCAGAAAGACAUGACUAUUUGGUCCCAAAACUCUCACGGUGCCCCUGGUACUCCCACAGAAAUGCCAUUUUGCUUGGACUCUGUGGAAGGCAGAAUAAUAACCCCAAAGACGUCCCCGUCCUGGUCCCAGGACCUGCAGAUUUAAAAAGUGGACCAUUGAAGGGAGAUUAAAUAGAUAUUUUCACGGACGACCUGGAGAUGGCACCCUCCCCUGGGACCCCAUCCAGUCUGUGGUUUUAAGAACAUCCCCGACGUCUACAGACUCCAGACGCAUCUUCUGAAUCCCCGAAUCAGGUCCAGCCGGCCGCCGGAACCUCCUCCUGGGUGACCUCAGGUGACCCCCAUUGACCGCCACCUCCUGGUGUUCACACCUCUGCGUAAUCUCCUCCCCUUGCCUGCGGGCAGGACUGGGACUUGCUUCCAACCAACACAGGGGGUGGGACGUCACCACCGUCAUGAUCGGAUUAUGUAAGACCCCCAUCUUAGCAGACUGGGGCUGGCUUGACCAAGCAGGUGGCCAUGUUGGAGAAGCUCAUGUGACAAGGAACCGUGGGCGUCCUCUCUAGGCUGUGAGUGGCCACCGGCCGACGGCCAGCAGAAAGCCGGGCCCUUCGCCAUCUGCCAACAACCUGAACGAGUUCGGAAGUGGGUCCUCCCCCAGUCCGGCCUUCAGAUGCAAAUGCAGCCCCGUCGACGCUCUGAUCGAGAUCGAAGCGUUGUGAGACCCUGAGCAGAGAGCCCAGCCGAGCCAGGCCCGGACUCCCGAGCUGCGGAAACUGGGAGAGAACCAACGGGAGCUGCUGCGAACCAUCAAAUUUGUGGCGAUUCAUUACCGAAAUCCAAUGACGGACGAGCUUCUCAAAUCAGGCGCAUCCCCCGCUGGGCUCCUGAAAUGCCUCUUCCCCCCACCAGAACACCUCUUCCUCCCCGAUUCUUCAUCUCAGAUGGGAGCCCUGUUCUUAUGAUCACCCAGACCCAAAGCCUGGAGUCGCCCUCUCCCAAAGCCCCAUCCAAUCUGCCUUAAAACAUGUCAGCUCCACCUUCAAAACAUGCCAGCAUCGGGCCCUCCUCUCCCACCCCCG